UUCUAUAACAUCAACAUGGAAAAUGUUUGUAAGAGCAGAGGGCCUGUGUGUUUUCUAAGGCUCCCCUUUAAAGCUCUUACCAGCUGCUGAGAAAGAUUAUUAGCCUCAUUUUAUAGAUGUGAAAACUGAAGUUGAGAGGCUGAGAAAAUCAUUGCCUAUCAAAGACAAGUCAAUAGUUAGGCACUUCCAUCUGACUGAUUCUAGGUCAAACUCAAAGGUGAUGGGGAGAAGUAAAGUCUCUUAAAUAAACAGUCGGAUGAGAACCACAACAUCAAAAAGUGUCAUCUUCACAUUUCCAGACAGAGAUUCUGCUGCUGUAAAUCACUAGGAUCUUCCUGCUUUUCUACUGAACCAGUGUUGUCAUUUAUAUUCUAACAACGAUCAUGUGACUCCUCUUCACACUAAUAACAAGGAAUCACUGCUGCAGAGAAAGUCCUUUGGGGAGCUCUCACUGGCGCAGUAUUUCUACUUUUCCUUUCUAAGAACACCUACUGAUUCCUCAUAGCAGAAGUCAGCAAACAUUUCCUUAAACAGAUACUUGCCGUAAAAACCAAUGAUGUUGCUUGAUGAAAUCCAGGUAACUGCUGUAUUCCGCCCCACAGUACCCGAUGAGAGUCAGGUGGCAGACAUCCUCUUCUAGACAUUUAAGGGAGAAAGCCUUUGAAAUGAUUCUAGACCUAGCACUCACUGACCACAAUCGCAUGAGAAAUUAAGAACAAGAACAACACAGUCAAGCCCAGUCAACCUCCAGAAGUGCGAAAGAUAACAAUAAAUGAAUGUUGUUGUUUUACA